rnacentral:lncRNA from 1 species
GCCUGGGAUGGAGGGCAGACGGUGGGAAGGAGGUCGGGAACCCAAAUUGGCCUUUAGUGCCUCAGGGCCUUUACACAGUUUCUGAUUGAAUUUCCUUAACAGCCCAGGGAGGCUCGUGCCCAUUUAUUGCAGGAGGAAACAGGCUCAGUAAAUCUAAGUAACUUGUGCAAUGCCACGCAACCUGCUUCUCAAAAGGUUUGGGAUGAAAUCAGAGGGAAAAAGAACAUGUCAGACAUUCCCCAAAGGAACUGACAGUUCCAGAAGCUGGCCUGAGGUGGAUGGUGGCCUUUUUUUCUACUUGGUCCAUCUUUCAGGAUGUGGGUCGUGUGGCCUGGCUUCAGUGAGAACAGCAGGGACACGUCCUCUCUGCCUUUCCCUCCCUCCCCCAGCCUUUAUCCUUUGCUCUUGUACCCUCUCCUGGAAUUUAACUCAGGGCAGAGUUUGAAAUUUCACAUCCCAGGUCUGUCCCUGAAAAUGUGAAAGGAGGCUUUCUGGGCUUGAAGGGAAGAGGCGAGCUGCAGUUGGGAGAACUAACUUUUUCCGUGGCUCAGCUCCCCCGGUGCAGCGAGGAUCCACACUCACCCUGUGGUUCCUGGACCAGAAGCCUGUUAGAAAUGCAGAAUCCAGGCCGGGUGCGGUGGCUCAUGCCUGUAAUUCCAGCACUUUGGGAGGCCGAGGUAGGCGGAUCACCUGAGGCCAGGAGUUUGAGACCAGCCUGGGCAACAUGGGGAAACCCAGUUUCUAUAAAAAAUACAAAAAUGAGCCUGGUACAGUGGGAUGCACCUGUAAUCUCAGCUAUUUGGGAGGCUGAGGCAGGAGAAUCGCUUGAACCCGGUAGGUGGAGGUUGCAGUGAGCUGAGAUUGUGCCACUGUACUCCAGCCUGGGCCACAGAGCAAGACUCUGUCUCAAAAAAACAAAAAGAAAUGCAGAAUCCCAGGCCCCACCCUGGCCCUCCUGAAUCAGGCUCUGCUUUUUACUGAACGAGAUCCCCAGGUGCUCCUUUGCUCACUGAGGUUUGAAAAGCGCUGAGGCUGGGUCCCGCAGGCAGGAGGAGGACUUUGGGUUUCAUCUGCAGUGCGAUGAGGGCCUUUGGGAGGGGGCUGUGGAGCAAAGGCAGAUGUGAUGGAAUCUCUGUUUUCGGAGUCUGCUCAGGCUGCUGGGUCCAGGAUAGCUCUGGGUACUGAGUGGUUGUCGGGAGAACAGUGAGGAGGCCAUUGGUACUCAGGCCAGGGAUGGCCACGGGCCACCAGCUCAUGAUGGGUGAACAGUGACACCUGGAGCUCUGCUGCCAUGAGUGCCCAGCUCAGGGACUUUGGGGUGGGGAUGGGGGGCCCCUUCCUUCCUCUCCCCUCCCCUCCCAAGAGACUGCAGUCACCGGAGCCAAAUCCCAGCAGGUCUGUGCUCACUGCUGAGCUGUUCUGCCUCCUUCCUGACCCUUCCUCCAGCUCUUGAGCAGGAUUUUAAUACCAAUGACUUGGUGUGAUUGACACACACAAAUGCAUGUGCACACAGACACACGUGGACUCACACACGUACAUGGCUUUGCGGGACAAUUGGCUACUUUCCCCUGAGCAGAACAAGCUGGCAGUGUUUAGCCAGGGAGAUUUGGAAAACUGCCUGGUCUAGUGGAAAAAAGUGUUCCACGAAGUUUAACAUCAGCUGCCCUGGAGGGUCUCUUCGUGGAGACAGGCUCCUGGGAAAACAUGAGUUGUAUGCGAUGGCCGACUGGGCAGUUUGCCUGGCCAGAGGCAACAGAGAGGAGAAAACAGGCAUCAGGUGAGUGGAAAAUCCCUGUAGGGAGAGGACCCAUGGGGACCAUGGUCCAGGAAAGCAAAUCUGCAAAGGCCAGAGACGAUUUAAAACCCUCAUAAAACACGUCCCCUUCCUAAUACAGAACAUUUGCCAAGAGGGCCCCUUUCCUCCUCGGUGAGGCCUGGUGGGUAAAACUGGACAUAUAAAAGCAGGGACAGAGAGUCAUGGGGGUGACAGAGAGAGAUGGUGGGAGACAGAGCUGGGGCCAUGGGAAUGCUAAAUCCUUACCCUAAACCAAGAGUCAGCGGACCUUUUCCAUAAAGGGGCCACAUGAAUCUCUCAAAACAACUCACCUCUGCUGUUCUAGCAUGAAAGCAGUGACCAACUGGAAAUGAAUGAGUUGUGGGCGUGUUCCAAUAAAUCCUUAUUUAUGAACACAGGCAUUUGAAUUUCAUGCAACUUUCACACGUCAUGAAAUAUCAUUCUUGUUUUGAUUAUUUUCCAACCAUUUAAAACUGAAAACCACUCAGACUUGCAAACUGCAUAAAAAAAGGCAGUGGUCCAGAUUUGGUCUGUGGACUGUUUUCAGUUUGUCAACGUCUCUCCUCUACCACUAGCAAGCUAGCAAACUUCAGUCUGUCAAGUCCUAAGAAAUAAAUGAAGCAGUCUCAGGAAGGCAAAAUCUACUUUCCAGGCUGGGCACGGUGGCUCAUGCCUGUCAUCCCAGCACUUUGAGAAGCCGAGGCAGGAGGAUCACUUGAGUCCAGUAGCUCAAGACCAGCAACUUAGUGAGUUCAAGGACAACACAGUAAAACCCCAUCUCUAAAAAUAUAGAAAAAUUAGCCAGGUGCAGUGGUGCAUACCUAUAGUCCCAAUUACUCAGGAGGCUGAGGCAGGGGGAUUGCUUGAAUCC